UUCCUACCCCUAGGUAUUAUCUGUCGGGAGAAUAACCUAAUCAAAGUCUCAGACUCUUUAGUGUUACUCAUUUUUUCUCAUUCUCUAACACAGAAAACUCAGAAAGAUAUUCGUGAAUCGUGAUUUGAUCGAGAGAGAGGGACUGAGUGAUCGAUUUGAUCGUGAUUUGGUCGAUAAUAUUGAUGAUCAGAGACUCUCACUCAAGAAAAUGUCUCAAAGUGAAAAAGCAUCCAAUAGAGUUGGAACUCCAAGUUGCAGUCAACCAAUUUCCCAACAGCCAGAACAAGAAGAUCAAAGUGUUGCUUCAACAAUUGCUUCAACAACACCUUCUUCGAGUAAUAAGAGAUCAUUAGCAGAAGUAGCAGAUGAAAAUCAUCCACUUGUUAUUGCUUUAUUGAAGAAAUUGCGCACAACAAGGUCACCUUCAUGGGAUGAAUUCACUAGGAAAAUCAUUGUAGAGCCCGAUAAAGAUAACCCGUGUAAGGAAGUGGCUGUCCUUAUGGGUGAAUGUCAUCAUUGCAAAAAGUUGGUACCUGCUUGUAGUGAACAAUGAACUACCCGCUUGGCUCAACAUCUAAUAAUCUGUCCCCAGAAGCCUCAAAACAAGCCAGGCCAGAUGAAGAUUACCACUGCAGUUAAAAAAGCAGGCACUAACCAAGUUGAAUUACUUAAUUACAAGUAUGAUCCAAUAGUUACUAGGAACUGCCUUGCUAAAAUGAUUGCUAAACAUGAUUACCCACUUAACAUGGUUGAGCAUUUCUAUUUUAGAGAUUUUGUUAAGUCUUUGAACCCAGCUGCGAGAAUGCCAUGUAGGAAUACAAGUAAAGCUGAUGUGUUGAGGUGUUACGCUGAAAUGAAAGGUGAAUUGCAAUUACAGUUAGAGAAUUUGACUUCCAAAUGUAGUCUCACAACUGAUAUGUGGUUCUAACAACACACAGAGCUUCAUUAAGUCCAGAAUUAGUCCAAGCACUUCUAUGCUUAAGUGAUUGGCUUCCAGGCUUCUUUGAUGCAGAUAUGGAAGUCAUCGACUGAAGUUGAUGCAAUGAUGCAACAUAUAACCAGGCAUCCAAGGAAGAUCAUCACUAGCAAGUUGUUUGACAUUAUUGUUAAGUCUAUGUACAAGAAGACAUGGUUUUUUCUCUUUUGCUGUUGUGUACUUUAGUUUGCAGACUGUUUGGUUGGGUGUUUGUAGUUUUUUUCUUCAUGUGUGAUGUGAC